rnacentral:rRNA from 1 species
UCAAGCUACGAAGAGCAUAGGGUGGAUGCCUAGGCACCAGGAGCCGAUGAAGGACGUGGCAAGCUGCGAAAAGCUACGGUGAGCCGCAAGCAGGCAGUGACCCGUAGAUGUCCGAAUGGGGAAACCCACCCGGAGUAAUGACCGGGUAUCCAUAUCUGAACACAUAGGGUAUGGAGGGGAACCCGGGGAACUGAAACAUCUAAGUACCCGGAGGAAAAGAAAGAAAGAUCGAUUCCUUAAGUAGCGGCGAGCGAAAGAGGAGAAGCCCAAACCCGGCGCUCAGCUUAGUUGAGCGGCGGGGGUAAGGAACGGCUGCAAAGGCCUGUAGUUAUCCAGCUGAACCAUCUGGAAAGGUGGACCAGAGAAGGUGACAGUCCUGUAGGCGAAAGGUAACGAAGGUUAAGCCGUAAUCCGGAGUACCACGGGACACGAGGAAUCCUGUGGGAAGGAGGGAGGCCCACCUCCCAAGGCUAAAUACUACCUGGUGACCGAUAGUGGAGCAGUACCGUGAGGGAAAGGUGAAAAGGACCCCGGGAGGGGAGUGAAAGAGAACCUGAAACCCUAUGUUUACAAGCAGUAGGAGCGGGGAACCGCGACUGCGUACUUUUUGUAGAACGGGCCGGCGAGUUACAGUGGUAUGCGAGGUUAAGGGCUAAGAAGGCCCGGAGCCGCAGGGAAACCGAGUCUUAAAAGGGCGGGAUGAGUAUGCUGCUGUAGACCCGAAACCAGGUGAUCUAUCCAUGGGCAGGAUGAAGCGGGAGUAAGAUCUCGUGGAGGUCCGAACCCACCGGUGUUGAAAAACCGGGGGAUGACCUGUGGAUAGGGGUGAAAUGCCAAUCGAACCUGGAGAUAGCUGGUUCUCCCCGAAAUAGCUUUAGGGCUAGCCUCAAUGUGAAGAUACGCGGAGGUAGAGCACUGAAUGGGCUAGGGGGCCGACAAGCUUACCGAACCUUAUCAAACUCCGAAUGCCGCGUAUUGCUGAUUGGGAGUCAGACUGCGGGAGAUAAGUUUCGCAGUCGAGAGGGGAACAGCCCAGACCAACGGCUAAGGUCCCGAAGUACAGGUUAAGUGGAGAAGGAUGUGGGAUUGCAGAGACAACCAGGAUGUUGGCUUAGAAGCAGCCAUACAUUUAAAGAGUGCGUAACAGCUCACUGGUCAAGUGGUUCUGCGCCGAAGAUGUCCGGGGCUAAAACCUGACACCGAAGCCAUGGGUUCUGUAGCGGGAGCUAUAGAGCGGUAGGGGAGCAUCGUAUAGGGGGCAGAAGCGCGCCUGAAAGGGAGCGUGGACUGUAUACGAGGGAGAAUGCCGGCAUGAGUAGCGAGAGGGUGGUGAGAAUCCACCCCGUCGAAAGCCUAAGGAUUCCUGGGGAAGGUUCGUCCGCCCAGGGUAAGUCGGGACCUAAGCCGAGGGCGAAAGCCGUAGGCGAUGGACAAUCGGUUGAGAUUCCGAUACCACCAUGAUCCGAACGAGAGAGGCAGUGACACAGGAGGAUAGGCAGAGCGGGCUGAUGGUAGGGCCCGUCCAAGCGGUGAGGCAGGCAUGUGAGUGAAGUACCACAUGCUGAUAAUGCCGGGCCGUAAAGGGGACCGAAGAAGAGUAGGGAAGCUGCUGAAUUCAAACUGUCGAGAAAAGCUGCUAUCGAGGGUCAGGGUGCCCGUACCGCAAACCGACACAGGUAGGCGAGGAGAGGAUCCUAAGACGAACGGGAGAACCCUUGUUAAGGAACUCGGCAAACUGACCCCGCAACUUAGGGAGAAGGGGUGCCUCCUUACCCGGCUGAUAAGAGGCAGGGUAAGAGGCCGCAGAGAGAAGGCCCAAGCGACUGUUUAACAAAAACACAGGUCUCUGCUAACUCGAGAGAGGAAGUAUAGGGGCUGACGCCUGCCCAGUGCUGGAAGGUUAAGGGGAAGCGUCAGGCGUUAAGCCGAAGCGUAGAACCGAAGCCCCAGUGAACGGCGGCCGUAACUAUAACGGUCCUAAGGUAGCGAAAUUCCUUGUCGGGUAAGUUCCGACCCGCACGAA